rnacentral:rRNA from 1 species
GGUAGAGAGAAGCUUGCUUCUCUUGAGAGCGGCGGACGGGUGAGUAAUGCCUAGGAAUCUGCCUGGUAGUGGGGGAUAACGUUCGGAAACGGACGCUAAUACCGCAUACGUCCUACGGGAGAAAGCAGGGGACCUUCGGGCCUUGCGCUAUCAGAUGAGCCUAGGUCGGAUUAGCUAGUUGGUGAGGUAAUGGCUCACCAAGGCGACGAUCCGUAACUGGUCUGAGAGGAUGAUCAGUCACACUGGAACUGAGACACGGUCCAGACUCCUACGGGAGGCAGCAGUGGGGAAUAUUGGACAAUGGGCGAAAGCCUGAUCCAGCCAUGCCGCGUGUGUGAAGAAGGUCUUCGGAUUGUAAAGCACUUUAAGUUGGGAGGAAGGGUUGUAGAUUAAUACUCUGCAAUUUUGACGUUACCGACAGAAUAAGCACCGGCUAACUCUGUGCCAGCAGCCGCGGUAAUACAGAGGGUGCAAGCGUUAAUCGGAAUUACUGGGCGUAAAGCGCGCGUAGGUGGUUUGUUAAGUUGGAUGUGAAAUCCCCGGGCUCAACCUGGGAACUGCAUUCAAAACUGACUGACUAGAGUAUGGUAGAGGGUGGUGGAAUUUCCUGUGUAGCGGUGAAAUGCGUAGAUAUAGGAAGGAACACCAGUGGCGAAGGCGACCACCUGGACUAAUACUGACACUGAGGUGCGAAAGCGUGGGGAGCAAACAGGAUUANNUACCCUGGUAGUCCACGCCGUNNNCGAUGUCAACUAGCCGUUGGNNG